rnacentral:rRNA from 1 species
AACGAACGCUGGCGGCAGGCUUAACACAUGCAAGUCGAACGCAUCCUUCGGGGUGAGUGGCAGACGGGUGAGUAACGCGUGGGAACGUGCCCUUCAGUUCGGGAUAACCCAGGGAAACUUGGGCUAAUACCGGAUACGUGCGAGAGCAGAAAGAUUUAUCGCUGAAGGAUCGGCUCGAGUCGGAUUAGCUAGUUGGUGGGGUAAUGGCCCACCAAGGCGACGAUCAGUAGCUGGUCUGCGAGGAUGAUCAGCCACAUUGGGACUGAGACAGAGCCCAAACUCCUACGGGAGGCAGCAGUGGGGAAUAUUGGACAAUGGGCGCAAGCCUGAUCCAGCCAUGCCGCGUGAGUGAUGAAGGCCUUAGGGUUGUAAAGCUCUUUCGUCCGGGACGAUAAUGACGGUACCGGAAGAAGAAGCCCCGGCUAACUUCGUGCCAGCCGCCGCCGUAACAC